GCAAACUUGGUCAUUUAGAGGAAGUAAAAGUCGUAACAAGGUUUCCGUAGGUGAACCUGCGGAAGGAUCAUUCAUAAUAAAAGUGGUUUUUAUGGCACUUUUAAAACAAUCCAUAUCCACCUUGUGUGCAAUGUUUUUUUUUUUUCAUUAAUCAACACUUUUAAUUUCUUGUCUGAAAUAUUUUAUGAAUUUACUUAAUUCAAAAAUAUAACUUUCAACAACGGAUCUCUUGGCUCUCGCAUCGAUGAAGAACGCAGC
rnacentral:misc_RNA from 1 species